AGCUAACCUACCCUCGGGACCGGCAUACCCUCGGGAAACUGAGGCUAAUUCCGGAUAGGCACCCUCCCCUGGAAAGGCUGGGUGUCCAAAGCUCCGGCGCCUGAGGACGGGGCUGCGGCCGAUUAGGUUGUUGGCGGGGUAACAGCCCACCAAGCCGACGAUCGGUACGGGCAGUGAGAGCUGUAGCCCGGAGAUGGGGACUGAGACAAGGCCCCAGGCCCUACGGGGCGCAGCAGGCGCGAAACCUCCACAAUGCUCGAAAGAGUGAUGGGGGUACUCCGAGUGUCUAUGCAUUGCAUAGUCUUUUCCUCGGCGUAAAUAGUCGGGGGAAUAAGGGCUGGGCAAGACCGGUGCCAGCCGCCGCGGUAACACCGGCAGCCCUAGUGGUGACCGUUCUUAUUGGGCCUAAAGCGUUCGUAGCCGGACAGGCAAGUCUUUGGGUAAAUCCUACGUCCUAAGCGUGGGAAUUCUAAAGAUACUACCUGUCCUGAGGCCGGGAGAGGCUAGAGGUACUCCUGGGGUAGGGGUAAAAUCCUAUAAUCCUGGGGGGACCACCGAUGGCGAAGGCAUCUAGCUGGAACGGGCCUGACGGUGAGGAACGAAACCCAGGGGAGCGAGCCGGAUUAGAUACCCGGGUAGUCCUGGGCGUAAAUGAUGUGGGCUUGGUGUGAGGGCAUCGACGAGGUGUCCUUGUGCCGUAGGGAAGCCGUUAAGCCCACCGCUUGGGGAGUACGGUCGCAAGGCUGAAACUUAAAGGAAUUGGCGGGGGAGCACUACAAGGGGUGGAGGCUGCGGUUU
rnacentral:rRNA from 1 species